UCCGCCCACCUCCUCCUUCCCUCCUCCCGAGGAGGAGACGCCACUCCAGCGGGAAGCAGGAUGGCUGCUACCUGGGGCGCCGGCUUGUACCUCCUCCCCAGGGACGGGGCCGCGCCUGACCCAAGUUCACCUGGGCCCGGCUGCCGCCCAGAUCGCCCCUCCUAAUCUGCCCUUCCUGGUUCUAGGAAAGCCACUUCCCUCGCUGUCUUCUAGCCAUCCUUGGUCCCCCCUUUCCUCUUCUCCAUCCUUCUAGUCCUUCCCAUCCCUCUGACCCUUCUCCAGACUCCCAGCGAGGGCCUGGGCCAGUGUUGGGCACCAAGGCCUACAGGCGCCCUGCUCCCGGCACCAGAGGGGCCGCAGGGCGUUUCUGCCUCCUGAGGAACCGUGCUCAGCGGGCCGGCCAAGGAGAGGCUGGAGUGGGGCUCUGCCUCCAGGUGUGCUGGAGCCUUUGCCAGGGGCACCACCCUGCCUCCUCCUGGCAUUCAUCGAUGGAACCCUGGAAGCUGGAGGUCAGAGUCCCAGCUCUUGGGGUGACAGGUCUCAAUGAGUCUCCGCAGUGGACAGAGACAAACCUGCCUGGCAAAGCUACACUUCGUCACCAAGGAGGGGUGGUAGGGAUGCUUGCUGCCCCCAAUCUCCUGCCAGACUUGGAGAAAAUUCUGGCACAAAAGGGGAAGGCCGCCCCCUGGUGCCUGUCAGCUGCACAGACCCUCCCCCAGAGGCCUCAGCGAGAGGCCCCAGCCCCCACCUGCAGAGCUUCCCUCCCCAGGACCUUGGGCCCCCCCUAGCAACGGUGUGCCGCUGCUCCCCCAGCAGCAGCUGGGCAGAGUCAAGAGCAGCCGUGGGAUGGGGAAGGAAGGGGUCAUCGUCCUGGCGUGGAUGUGGUGUGCCCCCCACCCCCAACCAGUCGCAGACUUUGAUCACCAGGCUGUAGUCCCCAGAUGGCUCAUCCCAUGAAGCUAAACCCUCUGCCAUCCGGCGGCUUUAGGAAGAGAAGCAGUUCUGGCCCGAGCCCGAUUGAGCCUGCUGGUCUCCGACUGAAGCUGGUCUAGAGACAAAGAGCCAUGGAGAAGUACCUGACCCAUAGACGGCCUGGAGAAGAGGGGGCCGCCAGGCGAGCAAGGGCAGAAGAAAGAGGAGCCCAGGAAGUAGGCUGAGGAUCUUGUCCCAGGGGGAGGAGGGGCGGGGAGUGCUUGCAGAAGUGAGGGCGGUAGCUGUGAUGGAGAGGUUCGGGCAGAGGUCAGACAGCGCCCUGAGGAGGGGGGGGAAGUGAGGACGUGGCCGGGUACUGGCGACUCUUUGGAGAAUUUAAGAUCUUGCUUGUCCAAGGAGCACAGUGGGGAGAGAAGGCGGUGGCUGGAGAAGGACGUGGGCCGGCGGGCAGCACUUUGGGGAAGCAGCUACAGGGAGGGCAGAGCAUGAAAAGGGCCAGGCCUCCGGAGCCUGAGAAGGGCCUUCAGGAGCCAAGGGUGGGGACUCUUCCUUCCCCUGGGAGGGGAGGCGGGUUCAAAGGCCAGUGGCAGAACUGUGAGGGCGCUGCCACCGGAGGCCACCGUUGCCUCUGUGAGGUCAGAGGCUCCUGGGGGGGAGGGUGGCUGGGCUGGAGGCUGAGAAUGGCCCAUGUGAGCUCCAGGACUCCUAGGACCAAAGCCCCCACUACUGCAGGGGGGGCCUUCGUGGGGUGUCUGUAGACACAUAUAGGCCUCCACAUCUGGGGGGAUGCAGCAGGCCUCCAGACCAGGCUUGGCAGGCUGCACCUUCCUUCCCCCCACCAGUCUUCCUCAAGGGGUUAAUGAUGCCACCCUCAUGGCUCUCCUGGACCCCCCUAUUGGCUUCCUCCUCUCAGCCCGUGCUUCUCUCAGCAGCACACAUCUGACCUGUCCCUUGCCAUCUGCUCUUCUCUGGGCUUCUCUGGGCUUUUCUCUGAGCAAAAUUCCCUUGCAAGGUGUGCGGAAUUGGGCAAGAGCUGGCCUGGGGGCUCUCCCCAGCACUGAGGAUCAGUGUGCCUCCUGAGCUGACCUCCCUGUGCCUUGGCCCAUGUGGGGCCCACCGGCUGGGUUGACCUCCCUCUGACCCCGCAAACAGCUCCGCUGGCACCUGUCCCGCUGUCCCGCUGCCACCUGUCCCCGGAGGCCAGGGAGAGGGGCGCGCAUCCUCACGGAACCCACACUGCCUCCUGCGCCCAGCCAAGGACUUGAGCUGCUUCCAUUCUGACCUCCGACUUGCCAGUUGGCUGCUUCUUUCCAGCGGGUCUCUUGGCUCAGGCGGAAGACCCUGAGGGCGAAGCAUCCCCAGCUGGGAACCAAAACUACCCCUCCAGCAGAGGGACUGUCCCGAGCCAGCAAGGCCCCCGCCAGGAAUUGACUCCAAGGAGAUGAUCCAUUGACCUUCACUGCCCACCAGCACGUACCCACUCACCUUUGCCCCACAUUUUCCUUAUAUAAACCUGGAAGUAUUUUUGGCAUUUUGCAAAACAGUCUUUGAGAUGCUAGUCUGCUCUCUUCCUGGUGUUGGCCUCCCUGAAAUAAACUCUUUUCCUGUUUCA